rnacentral:rRNA from 1 species
AUUGAACGCUGGCGGCAGGCUUAACACAUGCAAGUCGAGCGAGCGGCGGACGGGUGAGUAAUGUCUGGGAAACUGCCUGAUGGAGGGGGCUAACUACUGGAAACGGUAGCUAAUACCGCAUACCAUCAGAUGUGCCCAGAGUGGAUUAGCUAGUAGGUGGGGUAAUGGAUCACCUAGGCGACGAUCCCUAGCUGGUCUGAGAGGGUGACCGGCCACACUGGAACUGAGACACGGCCCAGACUCCUACGGGAGGCAGCAGUGGGGAAUAUUGCACAAUGGGCGAAAGCCUGAUGCAGCAAUGCCGCGUGUGUGAAGAAGGCCUUCGGGUUGUAAAGCACUUUCAGCGAGGAGGCGUUACUCGCAGAAGAAGCACCGGCUAACUCCGUGCCAGCAGCCGCGGUAAUUC